UUGUGUGUGUGCGCGCGGGCAGUGGGGGCGUCGUGUCCCUGCGCCGGGGGGAUGUGUGUCCCAGGCAGGCCCCGUGUCCCCGUGGGCUCAGCUUGAGUGUGUGCUGAGCCACCACCGUCGCAGGCCCACUGGCCUGUUGGAAGGACUUGCAAGGCCUGGGGCUCCCGGGGCCCUUCGAGGGCCCCGCUGUAAGGGGCACGGGAGGCGCCCACAGGGUGCUAGGAGGGCCCCUGGCUUGCUUUGACACUUUGACACUUUGGCCCUGAAGUCCCCCUCCGCUUCCUUCCCCUGCCCUCUGCCCUCAGAGACUCUGUGUCCCCUCUCCUGAGCGCCCAGCUGGCUGUCUAGGGAGGACUGAGGUUCUGGCUUGCUCUGGGGUCUGCCGCCCACUUCCAGCACUGUGACUGAGGUCGGGCAGCCCCGGAGCUCUGUCCCCUCUCCAGGCCCAGCCCCGGGCAGCUCUGUCCCCUCUCCAGGCCCAGCCCCGGGCAGCUCUGUCCCCUCUCCUGGGAGCUCUGUGCCCUCUCCAGGCCCAGCCCCGGGCAGCUCUGUCCCCUCUCCUGGGAGCUCUGUGCCCUCUCCAGGCCCAGCCCCGGGCAGCUCUGUCCCCUCUCCUGGGAGCUCUGUCUCCUCUCCUGAGUGCCCAGCCCCGGGCAGCUCUGUCCCCUCUCCUGGGAGCUCUGUGCCCUCUGCAGGCCCAGCCCCGGGCAGCUCCGUCCCCUCUGCAGGCCCAGCCCCGGCAGCUCUGUCCUCUCUCCCAGGAGCUCCGUCCCCUCUCCAGGCCCAGCCCCGGGCAGCUCCGUCCCCUCUCCAGGCCCAGCCCGACUUGGUCACAGCUUUGGGACAGCCUCAGGGCUCUCCUUGGGCUGCCAGCCUUGCUGUUCCAGUGAGGGGUGCAGCCUGGCUGGGAAGUGGGGUGGGGGUGGAGGAACACUCUCCUCCCUCCAAGCAGGGGCGGCUGGGCGAGCCCACCAGGAAAAUGGAAAAAUCCAGCGGCAGCUUCGGAUGGGGGAUUUCUCAGGCUGUUGUAGACCGUAAACGUCCUAUGGGCCUACGGACUGGCAGUGGUGUUUGGAAAAUAAAGAAUUCAAACUGCCAGGCCUUCCUCUGUGCCUUACAAAUGGGCUUUAGAAACACUGCAGGAAGGCGCCCUGGUCGAGUCCCUGUCUCCCUGGGGCCUGGCCUUCCUGCCGUGGGCGCUGGGGCUGAUGGGGCCCCUCAGGGAGGGGUGAGUGGGAGGCUGCUCCCCGGAGCUCCCGUAGAGCGCCCGUGUGCCGCCUUCCCAGAGAGGAUCCGCAGCUCGGGCUGGGACAGGGGGGCGACAGCAGGGCAGCUUCCUCAGAGCCCCCUCCUCCUGCCCCUGCCACCUGCCGUGCACACAGGCUUCGCCAGAGCUGCUCCGGCUGCAAGGGCGGUGCACACAGACUCCCCCCCCCCCCCCCCAAGAACCAGACCAGGCGUGCACCGCAAGCCGCGCUUGUGUCUGCUCCACUUGGUUGGACGUUUCUUUCAGCGCCCGAAUCCAUAUCUUGGACGGGCAACUUUGUUUUUCCAGUGGUCAGGACUGGUUGUUUGUUAA
ensembl:lncRNA